rnacentral:rRNA from 1 species
UACGUAGGGUCCGAGCGUUGUCCGGAAUUACUGGGCGUAAAGAGCUCGUAGGUGGUUUGUCGCGUUGUCCGUGAAAACUCACAGCUCAACUGUGGGCGUGCGGGCGAUACGGGCAGACUGGAGUACUGCAGGGGAGACUGGAAUUCCUGGUGUAGCGGUGGAAUGCGCAGAUAUCAGGAGGAACACCGAUGGCGAAGGCAGGUCACUGGGCCGCAACUGACGCUGAGGAGCGAAAGCAUGGGGAGCGAACAGG